UAGGGAAUCUUCCACAAUGGACGCAAGUCUGAUGGAGCAACGCCGCGUGAGUGAAGAAGGUUUUCGGACCGUAAAGCUCUGUUGUUGGUGAAGAAGGAUAGAGGUAGUAACUGGCCUUUAUUUGACGGUAAUCAACCAGAAAGUCACGGCUAACUACGUGCCAGCAGCCGCGGUAAUACGUAGGUGGCAAGCGUUGUCCGGAUUUAUUGGGCGUAAAGCGAGCGCAGGCGGAAGAAUAAGUCUGAUGUGAAAGCCCUCGGCUUAACCGAGGAAUUGCAUCGGAAACUGUUUUCUUGAGUGCAGAAGAGGAGAGUAGAACUCCAUGUGUAGCGGUGGAAUGCGUAGAUAUAUGGAAGAAUACCAGUGGCGAAGGGCGGCUCUCUGGUCUGCAACUGACGCUGAGGCUCGAAAGCAUGGGUAGCGAACAGGAUUAGAUACCCUGGUAGUCCAUGCCGUAAACGAUGAGUGCUAAGUGUUG
rnacentral:rRNA from 1 species